UUUUUUUUUUUUUUUUUUUUUGCUAGCUUUAACAAAAACAUCUUUGACUGAAAGUAUUUCAAAAUAAUUGAGUUUUGGUAAUUUACUAAAAUGAAUAUGUCAAAAUAUUUAAUUGCUAUCAAACAUUCUAUGUAUCCUUUAAUUAAUGCACAUCUUAAAGUGAACACAUUAGGUCACACAGCCAAAAAAUGAACACGGUUAUGAUAUUUUAGCAUGCUGAGUAAAAUGGUGAGAAAUGACAGAUUGGUUUGUUCAGUUUGUUCUCUUGAGUUCCAUAGUCUGUCUGGGCAAUGAGGGGCUGUGAAAUGUGGGCCCACGUAGUCAAAGUGGCAUCAUAGACUAGCCACUAACCAUCAGGAAGUGUCCAAGCAUGGUAGGUAGAAGAGGAAGCUCCCACUGGAGAAGACACACUGAUACGUAGUUAGAUCUCACUGCAUAAUUGGUUAGACUAUAAAAUGUACUUCAGAACUAUACUCUUAAUGGUAAGUCCUCAGUUUACCGUUGACUUUAUUUUAAUUUCCUCACAAGUGACAGAUAUUUACCAUUGUAAAUGAAUUCUUUUUUUUUCCUGCCUGAAUGACCCGUCAUGUAAGGUGGACUUACUGUAUUUAAGAAAUAGAGAGGAGCAAACCUAAGUCUUGAGGCCUAUAACUUAUUACAUUUACCCUAUCACCUUAAGGAAUUAAGCACAAAAUUAUGAAUAGGAAAUCUAUUAAAGAUGCUGUGGUCUUUAAGGGGUUGAAAAUCUUACAACAAUGCAUGAAUAGAGCAAGAGAUGGAGGCUGAGGAUGCAACCUAGAAUAGAGCGCUUGCUGCAUACGCGGGCCGUAAGUUCAGUUUCCGGUUUUUGGGGACAGAUGUUAUAUGAACAGAGAUACGAGUGAAUUCAAUUAUCCCUUUACUUUUCUACUGACGCAUGCACAGAAAUUUUUUUUCAUUUUAUCACUACCUUAGGAGUGUUUUCAGUUUGCCCAUUUAUCCAGUAAUGUUUGAAUUCAAACUGUGUAUGAGAGCAUUAACUCAUAGGAGUAAAAUUACUUCUGAGAAAGAAGGUAAAAGAAUAUAUAUGUAUGUAUAUAUGAUAAUAAAUUAUAUAUACAUAUAAUAAUAAAUUAAUACGAGGUGAAUAUUAACUCCAUUUCGUAUGACUCAAUCCCAUAUGUUGUAUGAAUACAAAAUUAAUAUACUUAUAUAAUGAGCUUACUCUAUUUUAUAUAAUUUAUUAAUGGAGUAUAUCACAUCUCUUUUAAAAUAUUCAGUUAGUAAAAAUAAGAUAUAUUAUAGUGGUCUUUUUAAAAACACAGUGUAGAAUCAAUGUUAUAUCAUAUCAUCAUGACCUUUAUCAUGAAUAUAAGAAGAAAAUAAUUCAUUUUUGGAAAAUAAUUUUCCUUAAUAAUACAAUGUAUUUUAUUUAUACUGAUACUCAGCCUUUACAUUUUAAAUGUUUCCUGCUUAAUUUCAAGAUAUGAAUAUCUUAUUUUAUCUCAUACUUAAUUGUCAAAAUUACUUUUUAUAUCAAUCAGUAAGAUAUCUUAAAGCUAUAUCCAUUCUGUUUUGAAGAGCUAAGAAUCCAAAUAAGAAAUUUGUUAUUUCAGCUAAAUAUUUAAAAAUCAUAAGUCUUACAGAUUUGUGAAAAUAUGCAAGAUAAUCUAAAUGACAAAGUAAUAAAUGGAGGAAAUUUAUAACAAUUUGCCUCCUAAAAUGAUAUAUUAAAAAGAAGCUUGAAUAUUUGAUAGUGCUCUCAAGUUGUAGAUUCAAACUAUACAACUGAAACAUGUUUUACAGAUUUCAUUUUAUUUAGAAAAAUUUAUAUGUAGUUAAUAAAAGAUACUAUUAUCUUUAAGAAUAGUAUGUGAACUAUUUCAAGUACUUUAAUAUUAAAUUCAUGGUUAUCAUAAGUCCUAUAAUCUUAUAAUGCAGUGAGUGAAGUAUAUAUUACACACAUGUACAUAGAUAUAAACAUACAUACAUACACAUAAAUACACACAUACAUAGACACACCCACAUACAUACAUGCACACACACACAAGCACGCACAUCAAUAACUCCAUAUUUCUGUCUUCUGGACCAUGGAGGGAUGCAGCCUCACUGGAAACCCUGUUAAAAUGCAGCUCUCAGGAGACCUGUGAGACCCUGUGGGACUUCAGGAGGCAUGUCUGCUCCAUGGCUAUGGGGUCAUCCAUGUGGUCUUUGUUUCUUAGAAGGAACUCUAAGGCAGAGGGCCUGCACACGGAGUGAACAUGUGCCAAGGAGGAGGGCCUGCACACGGAGUGAACAUGUGCAAUGGCUUUACUAAAGUCCGAGUUCCAAGAGCAGUGGAAAAACAAUGCUCAUUACCUAUAUUACUAAUUGUGAAAUUAUUUCUCAGAAAGUGAAACCUAAUGGACUCGUAAAGGAAAAUUGUCCUUCUGCAGCAUUCUUCAGGGCUUAAUAAGAGGCACGGUAGUGAUUGAUCGACAUCAAUAUAGGUGUGCCCACAAUAUGCAUUAAUAGAGGGGCAGAAUAUAAAUGGAGUACAAACAGUCUAUUUUAUUUUCAAAAUACCAAGUGAGAGUUAUUUCCACAAUUAUGAAUAUUUAAACAGUAUUAUAGCCUCUCAAUAUAUAACACAUGCAAACACACCCCAUCAUUUUUAUUACC
rnacentral:lncRNA from 1 species